rnacentral:rRNA from 1 species
GAUGAACGCUGGCGACGUGCCUAAUACAUGCAAGUCGAGCGAACAGACGAGGAGCUUGCUCCUCUGACGUUAGCGGCGGACGGGUGAGUAACACGUGGAUAACCUACCUAUAAGACUGGGAUAACUUCGGGAAACCGGAGCUAAUACCGGAUAAUAUAUUGAACCGCAUGGUUCAAUAGUGAAAGACGGUUUUGCUGUCACUUAUAGAUGGAUCCACGCCGCAUUAGCUAGUUGGUAAGGUAACGGCUUACCAAGGCAACGAUGCGUAGCCGACCUGAGAGGGUGAUCGGCCACACUGGAACUGAGACACGGUCCAGACUCCUACGGGAGGCAGCAGUAGGGAAUCUUCCGCAAUGGGCGAAAGCUUGACGGAGCAACGCCGCGUGAGUGAUGAAGGUCUUCGGAUCGUAAAACUCUGUUAUUAGGGAAGAACAAAUGUGUAAGUAACUAUGCACGUCUUGACGGUACCUAAUCAGAAAGCCACGGCUAACUACGUG